rnacentral:ncRNA from 2 species
GAACAGGUAAAGAAGAAGGUUCGUAUAAUCCCGAGAAUAUGGCUCGGGAGUUUCUACGAGGCCGCCGUAAACGGCCUGGCUACGAACGAAACGUCAACGGGA